ensembl:snRNA U6 U6 spliceosomal RNA
GUGCUCACUUUGGCAGCACAUAUACUAAAAUUGAAACAAUAAAGAGAAGAUUGGCAUGGCCCCUGUGCAAGGAUAACAUUUAUUUACUUGUAAACAGAUAGAUAAGA